rnacentral:rRNA from 1 species
UACGGAGGGGGCAAGCGUUAUUCGGAAUUACUGGGCGUAAAGCGCACGUAGGCGGCCCUGCAAGUCGUAGGUGAAAGCCCUCGGCUCAACCGAGGAACUGCCUUCGAAACUGCUUGGCUUGAGUCCGGGAGGGGGGAGCGGAAGUCCCAGUGUAGCGGUGAAAUGCGUAGAUACUGGGAGGAACACCGGUGGCGAAGGCGGCUCCCUGGCCCGGUACUGACGCUGAGGUGCGAAAGCGUGGGUAGCAAACAGG